rnacentral:rRNA from 1 species
UGGGGAAAAGUAUGCGAUUGCAGAAUUCAGUGAGUCAUCGAAUCUUUGAACGCACAUUGCGCCCUUUGGUAUUCCGAAGGGCAUGCCUGUUCGAGCGUCAUUAUCACCCCUCAAGCCCCCCGGCUUGGUGUUGGACGGUCUGGUCGAGCGUUUCCGCGCGACCCCUCCCAAAGACAAUGACGGCGGCCUGGUUGGACCCCCGGUACACGGAGCUUCUUCACUGAGCACGUAUCGGUUUCAAGGUGUCCCCGGGACCCGGUCGACCUCUCUUGCUCCCCUGCGGGAGUGGGAGAGAACCCCCCUUUUUAUCAAGGUUGACCUCGGAUCAGGUAGGAAUACCCGCUGAACUUAAGCAUAUCAAUAAGCGGAGGAA